rnacentral:tRNA from 1 species
AGAAGUGUGCCCGAAAUAAAGGACCUCCUUGAUAGGGAGAGUCAUAGGGGUUCAAGUCCCCUCACUUCUU